AACAAGCUACAAUCUGCAAAGAAAUGUAGGACACCCACCAGACCACUGGGCGCUCAGGGGAUUGUUGUCGGCUGCGGGAGGCGAGGAAGGCGGGGACGAAGGCUCCCUGUCCGGCUAAGGGAUCUACCACACAGAUCGACACUCCCAAGCCUCCUACUCACCAACACCAGAUUGAUCACACACAAAAUGGAUGAAUUACAAAUACACACGGAACUGCCGCGUGAUGAUUAUCACAAAAGCCUGGCUAAACACACUUAUCACUAGCAGCUAACAGCUAGCAGCUAACAGCUAGCAGGUUACAGGGCAAGCUACCCACCAGCAAAAACAAAACAGG